AUUGAACGCUGGCGGCAGGCCUAACACAUGCAAGUCGAGCGAGCGGCGGACGGGUGAGUAAUGUCUGGGAAACUGCCUGAUGGAGGGGGAUAACUACUGGAAACGGUAGCUAAUACCGCAUACCAUCAGAUGUGCCCAGAUGGGUUUAGCUAGUAGGUGGGGUAACGGCUCACCUAGGCGACGAUCCCUCGCUGGUCUGAGAGGAUGACCAGCCACACUGGAACUAGGACACGGUCCAGACUCCUACGGGAGGCAGCAGUGGGGAAUAUUGCACAAUGGGCGAAAGCCGGAUGCAGCCAUGCCGCGUGGGUGAAGAAGGCCUUCGGGUUGUAAAGCACUUUCAGCGGGGAGGCGUUAAACGAAGAAGAAGCACCGGCUAACUCCGUGCCAGCAGCCGCGGUAAUAG
rnacentral:rRNA from 1 species